AACGUUUCCCUUGGUCAAGGCUGGCUCUGGUUCUCCGAUCCGUUUUCACUGUGGGUCUCGUGUGGGCUGUAACCUGCCCAUUUAACCAAGUCCAGCCUCGAUGACAUCACAUUCUCAAAGCUAACCAUCCACGGGAAAUGCAUGUUUUUAAGUUCUCUUUUUUCUGCUACGUUUUCUUAAGAUAGAUCCAGUGAAGCACCUUCUCUCUCUCACCGGAGGCCAUGUCCAAAGCUUGGACUGUCUCACCAAGCCUGUACUUUUGGUGGGAUUGUCUCGUGGUGCAUUCUCAGAAAAAUGCCAGGUUUCCUUAGAAAAGCAUGUGGAACUUUGAGUGUGUUUUCCAGAGCCCACAGUGAGCGCCCAGGUCCGUUGAUUUUACCCAGAAUCAGAGUGUACUUUUGUCCUUUCAUUACCACCAGAAGUUCAAGGUUAGUCUCAACACCUUCGUAAUUACAAUAAUAAAAACAAAAUCCGUCUCUUUGAUCCUAUAAAGAGGGGCUGGGCAAUGCAUAGAAAAAAAACUGUGCACACAAAAAUAAAUACAACGGCCGGGAAAGCCUGCCCGCUCAUAAAGUAAUUACUGUGUUUAGCUACACAAAUUUCUUCCACCCCCCGCACCCCUCCACAUUCCCUUCUUUUUUCUUAACUCAUGAAGAAGAAUAAAAAAAUAAUAUUCCCCUGAGCGAUGUUCUUUCCUUUCCCUUUGCAGCAGAGGUCCCCCCAGGGCGCCAAGGACAUUAAUUAAUUCAGCAGCAAGGCAGGGCUUUCCUUGAGAGUUCCUGUUGCAUAAUGUUGAGUGAACUGACCUCAAUAGGGCAGGCUCAAGAUUAAAUUCAAGGAGCUGCCAGCAGCUCCUGAUUGAUCACAAAGGCAAGUGGGGAGAAUUAAGACAGCCUCACAUUUCACUGCUCAGACCUCAACUUUGCUCUGAUGAUCAGCUGGGAUCGUCUUUCUCCUACGACGAGGCCCUGCUUGGACUCCUUUGCAGAAAUGCUCAUGCCUUUGAUCCUAAAACUUGGAAAAAGAAAAAAAGAAAAAUUUCGACUAUGACUGAGGGAAGUUCGGGUCUGGCCCCUGCUGGCUCGCGAAGGAAGCUUCCAGCCUGUGUUCCCUGGGGCUGGCCUCUGCUGUGGUCAGGGCUCCACGGAGAAGACCACCAUGCUAAUAGGUUGUGCAGAGAAUUCGGGUUACACAGCAGGAGAAGGAUGUGAAACUCAGCUCCAGCAUCCGAGGAACUGCCCCCAACACAGCAGAGCUGCCGGAAGGAGGGAUCUAAUUGGAAUCCAUGGGCACUGGAGAAGCUCAAAGGCUCUUAAUGCUGCCACUUAAAGAGAGG
rnacentral:lncRNA from 1 species